GAUGAAGAACGCAGCGAAAUGCGAUACGUAAUGUGAAUUGCAGAAUUCAGUGAAUCAUCGAAUCUUUGAACGCAUAUUGCGCUCUCUGGUAUUCCGGAGAGCAUGCUUGUUUGAGUAUCAGUAAACACCUCAACUUCCAUAUCUUUUUUGAAAUGGGAGUUGGACUUGAGUGAUCCCAACGCUUUUCCUCACCGAAAAGUGGCGGGUUACUUGAAAUGCAGGUGCAGCUGGACUUUUCUCUGAGCUAUAAGCAUAUCUAUUUAGUCUGCCUAAAAACAGAUUAUUACCUUUGCUGCAGCUAACAUAAAGGAGAUUAGUUCUUGUGCUGACUGAUGCAGGAUUCACAAAGACAGGCUUCGGCCGACUUUGUAAACUCGAUCUCAAAUCAAGUAAGACUACCCGCUGAACUUAAGCAUAUCAAUAAGCGGGGA
rnacentral:misc_RNA from 1 species